GACGGAUAAGGCGUUUACGCCGCAUCCGGCAUUCGGUGCGCAAUGCCUGAUGCGACGCUGACGCGUCUUAUCAGGCC
rnacentral:ncRNA from 1 species